rnacentral:rRNA from 1 species
GAUGAACGCUGGCGGCGUGCCUAAUACAUGCAAGUCGAGCGAACGGACGAGAAGCUUGCUUCUCUGAUGUUAGCGGCGGACGGGUGAGUAACACGUGGAUAACCUACCUAUAAGACUGGGAUAACUUCGGGAAACCGGAGCUAAUACCGGAUAAUAUUUUGAACCGCAUGGUUCAAAAGUGAAAGACGGUCUUGCUGUCACUUAUAGAUGCAUCCGCGCUGCAUUAGCUAGUUGGUAAGGUAACGGCUUACCAAGGCAACGAUGCAUAGCCGACCUGAGAGGGUGAUCGGCCACACUGGAACUGAGACACGGUCCAGACUCCUACGGGAGGCAGCAGUAGGGAAUCUUCCGCAAUGGGCGAAAGCCUGACGGAGCAACGCCGCGUGAGUGAUGAAGGUCUUCGGAUCGUAAAACUCUGUUAUUAGGGAAGAACAUAUGUGUAAGUAACUGUGCACAUCUUGACGGUACCUAAUCAGAAAGCCACGGCUAACUACGUG